rnacentral:rRNA from 1 species
GACGAACGCUGGCGGCGUGCCUAACACAUGCAAGUCAACUUGACUGAAGGAGCAAUCUGACAGUAGAGUGGCGCAAGGGUGCGUAACGCGUAAGUAACUUGCCCAAGGUAAGGAAUAACGUCGAGAAAUCGGCGCUAAUACCUCAUAAUGCAGCGGAUCCGCAUGGAUAUGUUGUUAAAGGUUUACCGCCUUGGGAUAGGCUUGCGUCUGAUUAGUUAGUUGGUGUGGUAACGGCACACCAAGGCUACGAUCAGUAACUGGUCUGAGAGGAUGAUCAGUCACACUGGAACUGAGACACGGUCCAGACUCCUACGGGAGGCGGCAGUGAGGAAUAUUGGGCAAUGCUCGAAAGAGUGACCCAGCAACGCCGCGUGGAGGAUGAAGGUAUUCUAUAUCGUAAACUCCUGUGAGAGCAGACGAAAGACAGAUUAUUAAUCUGGAUGACUGUAUGCUCAGAGGAAG